GGAUGACGUAGGUGUUUCGUGGAGCUCUGGACCAAUCGGCGUCCGGGGGAGUGUCUGGAGGUUGGGCCGCUGGUGUUUGCGCUAUGGAAAAUCGUUACUGUGGGAUACGCCGCAGAUAAACGUGCGCUCGUGGGGCCGACUGUGGCGGCGAAGGGGACAACCGUGACGGGCCGAGCUCUCACGGAGGAGCGGUUGGACCAACGACACCUCAGCGGCUUUGGAGGGGAACAAUCUCCGCGAUAAACACGCUUGCCGAUGAAAAGCCUGUGACGUAAAUGAGGAGACGACAGCGGCUGAUAGUGACCUGGGUGGGGAACGGCAAUUUUUUUUCCCCAGUUGUCAAGCACUAUCAGAGGAACUGCUCCAGUGUGUUGGCACGUCCUUCCUGACUUCCCAGAUGCUCUCCAGCAGAUAGGCAUUCUUCCAACUGGAGGCAUGGCGAUGGACGAGAGUACCUUUCCGUGCAAGGAGCCUUCUAGAUGUUUUGGAAGAUUAGAAACUCAGACUUCUGGUCUUCCCUGGUGUCAUACGACCUACAAGGUCACAAAGAUACAAUAUUAUCACACGCAUUCUUUCACUCACUUUUAUAAUCACAUUUUAUUAUUUUAUUUUUUUUAAACAAAAUGUCAAGCGUUCCAGUUUCUCACUACUGAUGCACAACAACAAACAAAAAUCCCCAGUGAAUUAUUUUAUCGAUGUCCCAAUCUUUUUUUAAAUAUUGAGUCCAUUUGUUUUAUGCUUCAGUACAUUAUUGGGAAAGCGCUUAAUAAUUAAUGUCAGUCUGAUUUGCUGUCCGUCUGAUCCUACUGUAUCCAUGGCAACAGACCUGCAUUGUCCCUAACCAAAGCGUCAAAGAAUUAAACACAAUGUAGUAAGCCAAUUUGACAUACCCUUUUCUCCUGAGAAGACAUCGAUGAAGAGAGAGCACCCCUAUGCAUGCGACUGAACACAAAAAAAAAAAAAAAAACAUUGAAGUUGUUGCAGCGUUACUUUGUGUGGGUAAAUGAAGUGCUUACCUAGUGAGACGCACACCACGCUGAGUAUAACAGGUAAAUAAUCUGAAAAAAAGACACAUGAAUAAUCUGUUCAACUCAAAAAAUAAAUGUCUCAUGCGAUGGAUAACUCACCAACAUCCUUGUUGGCAUCUGUGACCACACCAUGUUUUUCUGUAAAGAGUCAAAUUAGGGUUAGAAUAAUUGCGAAUUUCUUCUUUUCUUUAUUUUGUUAUUAUUGUUUCGGCAGGGUUGGUCCCCCAAGCGCAGGGGAAAUUAAGGCCGCACUGGCGAUAAGUAUCUUCGAGAUAUUUGUGCGUGAGCGUACCUCGCUGCGUGGUGACUUCUGUUCCGCCCCUGAUAAUUAUAUCUCUGUGAGCUGCUGCUGCCGUGGUCGAUGGGGCCAAUGAUGAUGAAACGUCUGCAAAAACGAGGAAAACAACUUGUCACUGCAAUUUAUAGUUUGUAGGAUGUUUUCUAAUGAGAAGCAAGAUAUUGUGGUCACAAAAGGUGCCCACAAAUAAAAAAAAAAUACAGUUUUAGUGUGGACCUGUAUAAAGGUGCAGACUUGAGAAAUUCAUUUUAUUUAAAUUACCGUAUUUUCCGGACUAUAAGGCGCACCGGACUAUAA